AACUAUUUUAAUUAGCAUUAUACAGUGGAAUGCCAUGGACGAAGAGUCAGAAGAAUUCAGAUUCUUUAACAACCGACCAUCCUUCAAAUUUCUCAUCUUCAGAAGGGGAUCCUACUUUUUUCCCUUGUGGGGUUCUAACAAGAAACAAACCGGAAAGUGCUCUGUAAAGUGAAGCAAUUCCCGUGUCCAAAAGAUCUCCUAUCAACUCCCUACCCAGGACAGCCUAGAGGGGAAACUGAUGAGAACGAGGAGUUUUGCUUUAUCCACCAUUAAAACUGAAAGGGUUUCCCCCUAAAGAUCUGCCAUCAAGAGCUGAGCCACUGACGCCAUUCCUAGUUCCACUGCUACUAGAAGCCUUCAUCACUUGCAAUAAUAGAGGAUGAUGAUUCAUUACAAUAAAAACAGUAUCUACUC
ensembl:lncRNA novel transcript